rnacentral:rRNA from 1 species
AGCGAACGCUGGCGGCAGGCCUAACACAAGCAAGUCGAGCGCCGUAGCAAUACGGAGCGGCAGACGGGAGAGUAACACGUGGGAACGUACCCUUCGGUUCGGAACAACCCAGGGAAACUUGGGCUAAUACCGGAUACGUCCGAACGGAGAAAGAUUUAUCGCCAAAGGAUCGGCCCGCGUCUGAUUAGCUAGUUGGUGAGGUAAUGGCUCACCGAGGCGACUAUCAGUAGAUGGUCUGGGAGGUUGAUCAGCCUCACUGGGACUGAGACACGGCCCAGACUCCUACGGGAGGCAGCAGUGGGGAAUAUUGGACAAUGGGCGCAAGCCUGAUCCAGCCAUGCCGCGUGGGUGAUGAAGGCCCUAGGGUUGUAAAGCCCUUUCGGCGGGGAAGAUAAUGACGGUACCCGAAGAAGAAGCCCCGGCUAACUUCGUGCCAGCCGCCGCAGUAAGAC